rnacentral:lncRNA from 1 species
GUUGACCGCUAGGGGCUCAGCGGAAGUCGGGGCAGAGACCUGGAAGGAGGGGCGGCUGGUGGAGGCCCCUCCGGCCCGCCGGGGCCAAUUGGGAUUUGCUCUUGCCGCUCGGUUAAGCGUGGAUUUAAGAGUGGAGCUCAGGCACUCUGUGCUCUCGGGGGAAGGCGGCGGCCAAGAGUGCAUCGCGCUGCGGGUGCUCAGAUCUGAAGGGCUGGAGCUCGGUGGUCGGGGUUCCAGUGCGACUCCUGCGGAAGUCCUCAACCAAGCCCGGGCCCCCGGUGCUGAACCAGAGGUCUUCGUUUCUGUGGGCCCCACGUUGGAAACUUGAAGUCGUGAGGGGCUCUCUCUUCCAGGCAGAAGGUGUGUGUGAAUGCGAGCGUGUACCGAGGUACGUGAGCAGCAGUGAGUGUCCGUGCAGAAUGAGGAUCUUUAUUCCAAGAACCCCAGCUCGCCAGACCUUUAGGGAGGGGUGGGAUGAAGGGUUAGGGCUACCUGAAGGUGAGGCAGCUUGUCCGACUUCAGGAUGGCAGGAAAUCCCCAGGGAAGUCCUGUCUUCCAAUAUGACCGGAGGGCUGAGCAUCUUAAUGGCAGACCACGGCCUCCAGCCUCCAUUCCGGUCCUGCCCGAGGAGGAGAUCUCCUGGGAAGCUUAUCAUCACCGAAUGACAAAUACUCCAUUUGUUUACCUCUUCUCCUCUGCUCCCUACCAUAGACUGCAAGCUCAUACUUUGCUUUCUGCUAACACUUGAUUGGAUGUUUCCCCCUCUUCUUGGACUCUCCAGUCUCUCUGAAGCCUUUGGACAUCGCAUGGAAGGCAGUGUUAAGAGCCCAACUUUGGAGACAGACUGAGAUAUUAGCUCUAUGAUCUGAGGCAAAUUACGUGCCUCCUCGCACUGCAGUGUCCACUGCUGUAAAAGGGAGAGAAUAGUAGUAUUCACCUCCCAAAGUUCACCGGAGGAUUAAAUGAAAUGAUUCAUGUAGAAUGUAUCUAGUCUUAUUUGUCGAAGCCAGGAGCACCCACUUACUCUUAAGCUACCUUUGGUAUCCCCCCUUCUGUACCCCUUUACUUUGCCACCUAAUUAAACAGGGGGUCGCUUGACAUGUUUUGUGUACAGAUGGUUUGUUUCUUCAAUCUGCUUUUUAAUUUCUUUAAACAUAGUCACUUUUAUUUCUAUCUGUACUCA